CUAGUGUCAGACCUGCUGGCUGCUUGCGGGGCACAUGCAACGUGAUGUCAGGACAGGCAGGCAGCCUGCCUUAGCUAGCCUCGCUGCAUCGCUGACCCAGAGCCGCCCGAGGCUCUGUGCUCACUAUUGGCCUGACCAGACGAUGGCAGCACUUCGUGAAACAUGUCCUCCUCGUUCACCUCCUUAUCUGAAGCAGCAUCUCAGCUGGUGUGUAGAAGCAGGCCCUCAAGAGCACAUCUGCAGAAACAAAAGAAAUAAUACACAGUUGUUAUUGUGGGUGCACUCACAGCCUUGAAUCAUAAAAGUUGCAUACACCUCUUUCUCACGUUCCCUUGGCAAGCACUCAGGAGAACCAGAGCACUAACCAUGGCAGGGGGGAUGGAAGCUGAAAUCACACUACUGAGGGUAACCGAAGAUGCAAGAGUGUGUCUCCUGCACGCAGGUGGCUUCAGACAGGGUCCGUAUGCUGCUCUGGUUCCUGCAGAAGUAAUUGCCAAUUGGCACGGCAAAGUUUCCUACCAUGGGGGAAGAAAUAAAGCAGCUCUGCCAAGGAACAUUCGAC